UACGGAGGAUCCAAGCGUUAUCCGGAUUUAUUGGGUUUAAAGGGUGCGUAGGCGGCUUAUUAAGUCAGAGGUGAAAGACGGUGGCUCAACCAUCGCAGUGCCUUUGAUACUGAUGAGCUUGAAUAGACCUGAGGUAGGCGGAAUGUGACAAGUAGCGGUGAAAUGCAUAGAUAUGUCACAGAACACCAAUUGCGAAGGCAGCUUACUAAAGUCUUAUUGACGCUGAGGCACGAAAGCGUGGGGAUCAAACAGG
rnacentral:rRNA from 1 species